rnacentral:lncRNA from 1 species
GAUGGUGCACCUACCUAAAUUGAUGGAUGGUGCACUCAUCUAACUCACCUAAAUUGAAUGGAAUGUGCACUCACCUAACUCACCUAAUCCAUCUUCUCCCUAUAAAUACCCAUUGCCAUGCAUUCAUGUAAGAGACUCAUCCACCCUUCACCAUAACUUACCUAUAUCCAUCCACCACCAUAACCUAUCACUCAUCCAUCAUACCACACAUUGUGCCGCUGCAAAGAAGAAAAAGGAGGAUUGCUUGGAGUUGUGCUAGCCAUUCAAUUUGGAUUGUUGAAGCAUUCUAGGUGUAUUCUACUUUGGUUUUCAAUGUUUAAUUUCAAUUGUUAACUAAACCCCUUUUGGCUAGGGGGAAUUUCGAAACCAUGAACAUAUUUGUGUUAUGAAUUGAUUAAUUCCAGUUGUGAUUUCAUAAAGUGUGAAUGCAAUUUGCUUAACUGUUUUAUUCAAAACUUAUUCUUGUAUGUUGAUUAAGAAGGCCUACAUAGUUUGCAUGCUUGAAUUUGAUGCUAAAAUAUAAAUGAGUUUCACCUAAUCGUUACAAAUUUAUAUUCAUGAGUAGUGAAGGUUGCUAGUCACAAUCGCAUUAAUUGAAUUCUUGGCAAACAUAUCAUGCAUUCAUAGUUACGAAUGUCUCGUCAACACUUUUGAUUUUCAUGGAACGUAAUGAUCUCUGAUUGUAUCUCUAUUAUGCAUUCAUGUAGGGGACCUUUGGAGAAUGAUUUGGGUUGUCGCAUGCAUUCAUCCAAUUCAAUGAGUAAAGGAAAAUCUGAGAGUUAAUUAGUGCAUUACGGUUAAUCUGGGGUGUUGAGCUUUAUAAUUUAUUGAAAAGCAACUGGAAAUCGUUUCAUAAGCAAGUGUGUCAUGUGUGGAGAAGGAUCAUCUAGCUAGCCCAUCAUCCAUUUAAUUCACCAAAUUCGUCAAAAAUCUGUAUAGUUCUAGUUUAUGUUUUGUUUUACUUAAAAUUCGUUAGUUUUGUGUAUCAAAUUAGUUAGAAUCUAUCUUAGUUUGUGUUUUUAAGUGUUUUGAGUCAAGUUAAAACCAAUUUUCGUUCAAAGUCAUUCCUAGUGUCUAGUUUGAGUUUAUUAAUUGUUUUAAGCUGUUUUGUGACAUGCUUGAACUAGUGUUUGUGGAUUUUACGUUGUUGUAAUUUGUUUUAUGACUUGUAUUACAAACUACAAAAUUCCUAUGUUUUAUGAGCUUUAUGUAUGUUUUCUUGAACAAUAUUUCUCAUAAUUUUUCAAUUACCAUUCAAAGAUCAUCCAUGCAAAAAUUCAUUGAAAGCGAAAAUCAUGUAAUUACUAAUUGUGGCAUGACAAAUAGAAGACGACGAUGACAAAGUUGUCGAUAACAUAUAUAUAACUUUGCGUUCUAAUAUUAACUUGGAAUCUAUAAAAUUUGGUGUUAAUUGUAAUAUUUAGUGAUUAUUUACAUAAUAGUAGAGGAUCCUUAUAAGGUGGACGUACUAAUGAGAAUACAUCACAGAAAUAUGCUAUUAACUAAAUUCUAUAAAUACUAAAACCCAGCAACUGUUCUAAAGCACAAUGAAAUGACGGAUUUGUCAUCUUCAAACGUUCUUUUCUUUCAUUUAUUUUAAGGAAAACUAAUGAAAAAGGCUUGAAAACUUUUAGUUUUAAUGAUAAGGACAAAAUAAAGGGUAAAGUGAAUAGUACCAUGUUUGACUUUUUAGUGUAAAAAUGUGGUUUUGUUAAAGUGAACAGUACCGUGGGCUUUUCGUUAAAACUCCCUUUAUUUUAUGGGGGUACAGUGAAAAGACAAGAAUGCCCAUUCUUAGGAAUGGCUCGCUCGUGGCUUUCCUCCCCCACCAUUGCUUUCUUGCUUCAAUCCGAAUCGACACGUUCCCUGACCUUUUCCUUGUUGCUGCAAUUCGAAUCCACACGACAACCUGCUCAUCCAAAUCAAUUUCUGCACGUUUCAUUUGGCAACCCUAUUCUUCCACAUCGUUCUAAACCCAAAACCCAAAUCGUUGUUGCUCAUCCAAAACCCAGACAGCCGCCACCACCACGUUUUACAAAUUCCUCUUGACUGAAGGUAAGCGAAAAUUGCCCUCUUCAUCUCCACAAGUAAAUUUGAUUAUCUAUUAAUUUCCCCCAUUUUUUUUUUUGUUUCAAAUUUACAUCGAUUGCUAGGGUUUUGGAAGGGUGUAUGGGUUUGGGUAAUAUUCAUAAACCAGGUUGCACAGACACUUUGAAACUCCAAAGUGUCAGAGUUUGUUUUUAAUCCUCCAACAUUUGACGCAUUUUAGACUAGGUUGCAUGGACACUCCGACUCGCCCCUGACAUAGGUUGGACACAACCCGGCAAGGGUAUUUUUGUAAAUUUGAAAAAUAUUUUGAAUCAAUUUGGAAACAUUGAAACAUUUGGGGCAAUUUGAAAAUACAAAACCUAAAGCCUAACAACAAAGGAAAACUAAUGAAAAUGACUUGAAAACCGUGAGUUUUAACCAAAAACCAUGUAAUAACUUUAUUUAAUGGUUAGGACAAAGCCCAAUACUAAAUCAGUCUAAUUAAAAUGGCCCAAAUAUUGAGUUUACAAUUUUAUCCCUAACGGCAACCUUUUGUCCGUUAAUCUCUCUUCAUUAUGGAUCUCUCUAAUAUUUUCUCCCCCAUUUUUUCCUGACAUUCAAAACCUUCCAUUUUUCUUUCUAAUCUCGCAUAGCAACUCCAUUUCUAUCACUAUGUAAAAACUACAGCUUCGACCCCAAACCUAAUUUUGAGCCGUCUCCAUCUCUGUGAAAAUCAGAAACGAUCUCUUACAAGCAAAACGGUAUGAUUUUGUCACUCUCUCCCUCCCUCCCAAAAUUUCUCUCUCUCUCUCUCUCUCUCUCUCUCUCUCUCUCUUCUCUGUAAAGAUGAGCAAGGGAUCUGCACUUUCACCGACAUCGGCAAAAAAGCCAAAGGUGAAUUUUUGCCCUUCCCUCCUCAUUCAUCUGAUUAUUAACGUUUCAAUUUGAUGAAGAAGAAAAGAAGAUUUCGAGGUACUAUUUUUAAUUUUUCUUCUUCAGUGGAGUUCAUCAUUUGUUUCUCCAGGAAAUAAAUUUGAGAUUUGUUAGCUUUUUGUUCAGUUUUUUUUCUUUUCAGAUACAGUGUAUUUUUUUUUCCAGAUACAAUUUUGCCAACAUUUUUUUCCAGAAACAGUGUUAUGUUUUUGUUUUCUAGAAACAGUGUUAUAUUUUGGUUUUUUUUUCAAAUACAAUGUUUGUUUGUUGAUAGGAGCAUAUUUAUGCGACUUAGUUAGCUUGUUUCUUGGCAUUUAUUUAGUUAGUUUCUACUUAUUAUAGUGAUUUAAGCUAUUUUCGUGUGUUUGUAGGUUCAAAUGACAAAGUUGGCAAGAAAGUGCAUUUUGGUGCAGUUUUGGGCUGAAUUGGAGUGCAUGCAUGUGGGGCAAGUUGAAUGGACGUUUUUGGUGCUUAAAUGAGGUUAGGAACAUGCUACAAAUUUGGAGAAACAAAUGCAAGUUGCAAGAAUGGUUGGUGCACUCACCUAACCUACCAGAAAUUGAAUGGAUGGUGCACUUACCUAAAUUGAUGGAUGGUGCACUCAUCUAACUCACCUAAAUUGAAUGGAAUGUGCACUCAUCUAACUCACCUAAUCCAUCAUCUCCCUAUAAAUACCCAUUGCCAUGCAUUCAUGUAAGAGACCCAUCUACCCUUCACCAUAACUCACCUAUAUUCAUCCACCACCAUAACCUACCACUCAUCCAUCAUUCCACACCUUGUGCCGCUGCAAAGAAGAAGGAUGAGGAUUGCUUGGAGUUGUGCUAGCCAUUCAAUUUGGAUUACUGGAGCAUUCUAGGUGUAUUCUACUUUGGUUUUCAAUGUUUAAUUUCAAUUGUUUCUAUUUAAUUGCAAGUAUGAGGAACUAAACCCCUUUUGACUAGAGGGAAUUUCGAAACCAUGAACAUAUUUGUGUUAUGAAUUGAUUAAUUCCAGUUGUGAUUUCAUAAAGUGUGAAUGCAAUUUGCUUAACUGUUUUAUUCAAAACUUAUUCUUGUAUGUUGAUUAAGAAGGCCUACAUAGUUUGCAUGCUUGAAUUUGAUGCUAGAAUAUAAAUGAGUUUCACCUUAUCGUUACAAAUUUAUAUUUAUGAGUAGUGAAGGUUGCUAGUCACAAUCGCGUUAAUUGAAUUAUUGGCAAACGUAUCAUGCAUUCAUGGUUACGAAUGUCUCGUCAACACUUAUGAUUUUCAUGGAACGUAAUGAUCUCUGAUUGUAUCUCUA